rnacentral:rRNA from 1 species
UGGCUCAGCGCGAACGUUGGCGGCGCGCCUAACACAUGCAAGUCGUGCGUCAGCAGGCUACUACCUUCGGGUAGUAGUGCUGGCGACCGGCAAACGGGUGAGUAACACGUAGCUUACCUACCCCAGGGUUGGGGAUAACCUCCCGAAAGGGUGGCUAAUACCCAAUAACGAGGAGACUCCAAAGCUGCAAGGCGCCCUGGGAUGGGGCUGCGUCCCAUCAGGUAGUUGGUGAGGUAAUGGCUCACCAAGCCUACGACGGGUAACCGGUCUGAGAGGAUGACCGGUCACAGUGGGACUGAGACACGGCCCGCACCCCUACGGGGGGCAGCAGUGGGGAAUAUUGGGCAAUGGCCGAAAGGCUGACCCAGCGACGCCGCGUGGCGGAUGAAGCCCUUCGGGGUGUAAACGCCUUUUCUUGGGGAAGACAAUGACGGUACCCAAGGAAAAAGGGACGGCUAACUACGUGCCAGCAGCCGCGGUAAUACGUAGGUCCCGAACGUUGCGCGAAAUUACUGGGUGUAAAGGGUCCGUAGGCGGUCUAUCAAGUGGAAGGUGAAAUCCCAUGGCUCAACCAUGGAACUGCCUUCCAAACUGAUAGACUCGAGGGCGGAAGAGGUCGGCGGAAUUCCCGGUGUAGCGGUGAAAUGCGUAGAUAUCGGGAGGAACACCAGUAGCGAAGGCGGCCGACUGGGACGCACCUGACGCUGAGGGACGAAAGCUAGGGGAGCAAACCGGAUUAGAUACCCGGGU